rnacentral:rRNA from 1 species
GAUGAACGCUGGCGGCGUGCCUAAUACAUGCAAGUCGAGCGAACAGACGAGGAGCUUGCUCCUCUGACGUUAGCGGCGGACGGGUGAGUAACACGUGGAUAACCUACCUAUAAGACUGGGAUAACUUCGGGAAACCGGAGCUAAUACCGGAUAAUAUAUUGAACCGCAUGGUUCAAUAGUGAAAGACGGUUUUGCUGUCACUUAUAGAUGGAUCCGCGCCGCAUUAGCUAGUUGGUAAGGUAACGGCUUACCAAGGCAACGAUGCGUAGCCGACCUGAGAGGGGGAUCGGCCACACUGGAACUGAGACACGGUCCAGACUCCUACGGUAGGCAGCAGUAGGGAAUCUUCCGCAAUGGGCGAAAGCCUGACGGAGCAACGCCGCGUGAGUGAUGAAGGUCUUCGGAUCGUAAAACUCUGUUAUUAGGGAAGAACAAAUGUGUAAGUAACUAUGCACGUCUUGACGGUACCUAAUCAGAAAGCCACGGCUAACUACGUG